ACACGACUACAUUAGAUACCCCUGUAGUCCCAGCCCUAAACGAUGCGCGUUAGGUGUAUCGGUGACCACGAGUCACCGAGGUGCCGAAGGGAAACCGUGAAACGUGCCGCCUGGGAAGUACGGUCGCAAGGCUGAAACUUAAAGGAAUUGGCGGGGAGCACCACAAGAGGUGGAGGCUGCGGUUCAAUUGGACUCAACGCCGGAAAACUCAUCGGGAGCGACAGCAGUAUGAUUGCCAGGUUGAUGACCUUGCUUGACAAGCUG
rnacentral:rRNA from 1 species